rnacentral:rRNA from 1 species
UACGUAGGGGGCAAGCGUUGUCCGGAAUUAUUGGGCGUAAAGAGCGUGUAGGCGGUCCGGUAAGUCAGCUGUGAAAGUCAAGGGCUCAACCCUUGAAUGCCGGUUGAUACUGUCGGGCUAGAGUCCGGAAGAGGCGAGUGGAAUUCCCGGUGUAGCGGUGAAAUGCGCAGAUAUCAGGAGGAACACCGGUGGCGAAGGCGGGUCUCUGGGCCGAUACUGACGCUGAGGAGCGAAAGCGUGGGGAGCAAACAGG